AAGGUCAAAAGUCAAACCUUGAAGAUGAAGAAGAAGAUGGAAUUUGCAGAGAAAAAUUGAGAGGAAAAUCGAAGAAGAAAUGGUGUUGAACAGCAUGGUGGUUGUGACGGUGGCGCGUGUGUCAUCGGAAGCAUGGCAAUGGCUGACUUGCAUUGAGGAGCCUCUGAGCAGUGAGCAGCUCUUCGAUCUGCUCUGCACCUUCCCUUUCCAUCAACUUGGUCGCAUCGCUCUCUGCUUCUGCUCCUUCUUCUGCCUCCCUCAAGCUCAUCCUUUCUACUUCUCUGAUUCUGAUUCUGACUCUCUCACUCUCUCUCACCAUUCUUCUUCCUCCAACCUCAAUUUUGAUGAUUUCUAUUACCAUUCCCAUUCCGAUUGACUUUGCUGGAAUCAGCAUCUUCUCGAACUUGCCAUUUUAUUAACUUCAUGAAGAGAUGCAGCGGUAGACUUUGUGUGAUAGGACACAAGAGACCCCCAAUUGCAGUCUGGUUUCUCAUUCAAUCCCUUAUCUUAUUGUUACUGAAUGAUGGAAAGUUUUUUUGUCAGAAUAAGAUGACACUGAAGGCUUAUGUAUUGUUUAAGCCGCCUUCUUUGUAUAAUAGCAUCUUUUACUCUUAGAUUAUUGUAGUUGAUCAAUUGAUCUCUUCAUAUUGUAUACCUUUGAUGUAUAGAGUGAUUUGUGAAUUGUGAGUGUUAAUAUAGUUUUAAAUUUCAAUUCAAAAGAAGUGUGGUUGAGUAAGUUACUUCUAUUCAGAAGGUUUGUACAAGAUAAACCAUCAUUACAUAUUUCUUAAAUUUUGACCUUUGUUUUA